rnacentral:rRNA from 1 species
GUUAAUCGGAAUUACUGGGCGUAAAGCGCACGCAGGCGGUCUGUCAAGUCGGAUGUGAAAUCCCCGGGCUCAACCUGGGAACUGCAUUCGAAACUGGCAGGCUAGAGUCUUGUAGAGGGGGGUAGAAUUCCAGGUGUAGCGGUGAAAUGCGUAGAGAUCUGGAGGAAUACCGGUGGCGAAGGCGGCCCCCUGGACAAAGACUGACGCUCAGGUGCGAAAGCGUGGGGAGCAAACAGGAUUUGGCUUCCGGAGCUAACGCGUUAAGUCGACCGCCUGGGGAGUACGGCCGCAAGGUUAAAACUCAAAUGAAUUGACGGGGGCCCGCACAAGCGGUGGAGCAUGUGGUUUAAUUCGAUGCAACGCGAAGAACCUUACCUACUCUUGACAUCCAGAGAACUUAGCAGAGAUGCUUUGGUGCCUUCGGGAACUCUGAGACAGGUGCUGCAUGGCUGUCGUCAGCUCGUGUUGUGAAAUGUUGGGUUAAGUCCCGCAACGAGCGCAACCCUUAUCCUUUGUUGCCAGCGGUUAGGCCGGGAACUCAAAGGAGACUGCCAGUGAUAAACUGGAGGAAGGUGGGGAUGACGUCAAGUCAUCAUGGCCCUUACGAGUAGGGCUACACACGUGCUACAAUGGCGCAUACAAAGAGAAGCGACCUCGCGAGAGCAAGCGGACCUCAUAAAGUGCGUCGUAGUCCGGAUUGGAGUCUGCAACUCGACUCCAUGAAGUCGGAAUCGCUAGUAAUCGUAGAUCAGAAUGCUACGGUGAAUACGUUCCCGGGCCUUGUACACACCGCCCG